UAAGAACUUCACCAUGGAAUUAGCUGAUG
rnacentral:piRNA from 1 species